CGAUUUUAUAUGUAUGCUCAUACUUAUAUAAACUAGACAAUGAACUAAAAAUACUUUACAAACUGUUAAAAUCUGAAAUUUAAGAUAUUAGAAUUUA